UGAGGAAUAUUGGGCAAUGCCCGCAAGGGUGACCCAGCAACGCCGCGUGGAGGAUGAAUGUCGUAAGAUUGUAAACUCCUGUUAGAGGGGAAGAAUAGUACCGGUUGGACCGGUAUAUGACUGUACCCUCAGAGAAAGCCCCGGCUAACUACGUGCCAGCAGCCGCGGUAAUACGUAGGGGGCAAGCGUUGUCCGGAUUUACUGGGUGUAAAGGGCGCGCAGGCGGGAUAAAAAGUCAGUGGUGAAAUCCUACAGCUUAACUGUAGAACUGCCUUUGAUACUUUUAUGCUUGAGUUCGGGAGAGAGAGACGGAAUUCCAGGUGGAGUGGUGAAAUACGUAGAUAUCUGGAAGAACACCAGUUGCGAAGGCGGUCUCUUGGUCCGACACUGACGCUGAGGCGCGAAAGCGUGGGGAGCAAACA
rnacentral:rRNA from 1 species